rnacentral:lncRNA from 1 species
GGUUUUUGGGGUGCCCGAUCCAGGGCACCAAUCUGUUUUUUUAACCAUUGGUUUAAACCCUUGAUUUUAACAUGUGGUCCUUCAUCCAAAACAUCAUGUUUCAAGGAUUUAUUUAACACAACUAUUUGAUCUUCUUUAUUCCCCUCUAAGAUCAGACUAAAGAAGUUGAUUUGGAGCUCAAAAAACGCCACAUGUCGAUUCUAACUCUAUGAUUGGAUUAUUGAUGAGACAAUGAGAUCUACAAAAACAAGCUUAUGGCAAAAGUAAUCAGGGUGGCAGACAUAGCAUCUUGAGUUCUAUUUCUACCACGUCCUGAUUUAAAAUAUUUUUUUUUAAAAAAUAAUAAUAAUAUGAGAUCAAAGGCUUUCAUAUCUUAAUCUUUCGUUUUUUUUUUCUAUUUUAGAAGUUGACUGCAAAGUAAAUCAAAGAUGUUUUGUAAAACUUUUGAUCACAACACAAAAAUCAAAGAUCUUCUCUGAAACUUUCAAG